rnacentral:rRNA from 1 species
AUUGAACGCUGGCGGCAGGCUUAACACAUGCAAGUCGAGCGGGGUGAUGGUGCUUGCACUAUCACUUAGCGGCGGACGGGUGAGUAAUGCUUAGGAAUCUGCCUAUUAGUGGGGGACAACAUUUCGAAAGGGAUGCUAAUACUGCAUACGUCCUACGGGAGAAAGCAGGUGACCACUUGUGACCUUGAGCUACUAGCUGAGCCCUAGUCGGUUUAGCAAGUAGGUGGGGUAAAGGCCCACCAAGGCGACGAUCUGUGUCGGGUCUGAGAGGGUGAUCCGCCACACUGGGGCUGAGACACGGCCCAGACUCCUACGGGAGGCAGCAGUUGGGAAUAUUGGACAAUGGGGGGAACCCUGAUCCAGCCAUGCCGCGUGUGUGAAGAAGGCCUUAUGGUUGUAAAGCACUUUAAGCGAGGAGGAGGCUCUUUUGGUUAAUACCCAAGAUGAGUGGACGUUACUCGCAGAAUAAGCACCGGCUAACUCUGAGCCAGCCGCCGCCGUAA